rnacentral:rRNA from 1 species
GACGAACGCUGGCGGCGUGCUUAACACAUGCAAGUCGAACGGAAAGGCCCUGCUUUUGUGGGGUGCUCGAGUGGCGAACGGGUGAGUAACACGUGAGUAACCUGCCCUUGACUUUGGGAUAACUUCAGGAAACUGGGGCUAAUACCGGAUAGGAGCUCCUGCUGCAUGGUGGGGGUUGGAAAGUUUCGGCGGUUGGGGAUGGACUCGCGGCUUAUCAGCUUGUUGGUGGGGUAGUGGCUUACCAAGGCUUCGACGGGUAGCCGGCCUGAGAGGGUGACCGGCGACAUUGGGCCUGAGAGACGGCGCAGAAUCGUAUGGGAGGCAGCAGUGGGGAAUAUUGCACAGUGGGCGGAAGCCUGAUGCAGCAACGCCGCGUGCGGGAUGACGGCCUUCGGGUUGUAAACCGCUGUGGCCUGUGACGAAGCGUGAGUGACGGUAAUGGGUAAAGAAGCACCGGCUAACUACGUG